UACGGGGGAGCAAGCGUUGUUCGGAUUUACUGGGCGUAAAGGGCGCGUAGGCGGUCAGCACAAGUCAGUUGUGAAAUCUCCGGGCUUAACUCGGAAAGGUCAACUGAUACUGUGCGACUAGAGUGCGGAAGGGGCAACUGGAAUUCUCGGUGUAGCGGUGAAAUGCGUAGAUAUCGUAAGGAAGACCAGUGGCGAAGGCGGGUCUCUGGACAGUUCCUGACGCUGAGGCACGAAGGCCAGGGGAGCAAACGGG
rnacentral:rRNA from 1 species